CGGAAGGACACCUUUCGGUAUUUGGGGUCAAUGUUGCAGGAGGAUGGGGGUAUUGAUGAAGAUGUGAACCAUCGAAUCAAAGCCGGACGGAUGAAGUGGCGCCAAGCUUCUGGCAUUCUCUGUGACAAGAGAGUGCCACAAAAGCUAAAAGGCAAGUUCUACAGGACGGCGGUUCGACCCGCAAUGUUGUAUGGCGCGGAGUGUUGGCCGACUAAAAGGCGACAUGUUCAACAGUUAGGUGUGGCAGAGAUGCGUAUGUUGAGAUGGAUGUGUGGCCACACGAGGAAGGAUCGAGUCCGGAAUGAUGAUAUACGAGAUAGAGUUGGGGUAGCACCAAUUGAGGAGAAGCUUGUCCAACAUCGUUUGAGA
rnacentral:rRNA from 1 species